rnacentral:rRNA from 1 species
GGCGAACGCUGGCGGCGUGCUUAACACAUGCAAGUCGAACGGAAAGGCCCUGCUUUUGUGGGGUGCUCGAGUGGCGAACGGGUGAGUAACACGUGAGUAACCUGCCCUUGACUUUGGGAUAACUUCAGGAAACUGGGGCUAAUACCAGAUAGGAGCUCCUGCUGCAUGGUGGGGGUUGGAAAGUUUCGGCGGUUGGGGAUGGACUCGCGGCUUAUCAGCUUGUUGGUGGGGUAGUGGCUUACCAAGGCUUUGACGGGUAGCCGGCCUGAGAGGGUGACCGGCCACAUUGGGACUGAGAUACGGCCCAGACUCCUACGGGAGGCAGCAGUGGGGAAUAUUGCACAAUGGGCGGAAGCCUGAUGCAGCAACGCCGCGUGCGGGAUGACGGCCUUCGGGUUGUAAACCGCUUUCGCCUGUGACGAAGCGUGAGUGACGGUAAUGGGUAAAGAAGCACCGGCUAACUACGUG